rnacentral:sRNA from 1 species
UUGGGUUUGGAAUAGCAGUAUUGUGCUGACGGUGAAUAUACCAUUGGAAUAUUCUAUUAUUUUGACAGCUGAUUCCGUCUAGCCAGCCAACUUUGUCUGUACGCAGGGACGAGGGAGUUGACAAAGGUAAACAAAUUCUUGGAACUUCGAUCCUGCCCGCUCCAUCGUGCAUUUCCGCACCAUGAGACCAAGAGUCCCGUGCAUGCAACUUACGCCAUUAGCCACCAUGUAUCAGACCUGUAUUCAAGGGAGGGGCACAAGGGAUAAUUGCUUUUUCUUUUACUUUUUCUUUUUCUUCUUUUUUUUGUUUCUUUCGAAGAGGGGCUCUAUCUACAGCUGAAAUGUAUGCGAAUCAACCACCAAGGUGAAUAGGCUGAUUAUUCUUCCCUCAACGCUGCGAAGGAACAGAAACACUCAGACGAAAGUUUCAAUCAGCAGUUUGUUCAGAAGUAACUUGGUCUCUAGCUCGACGAAGCAACUUCUGACGCAACCAAUCGCUACUAGCCUUGGAAGGUCGCGACCAAAGUCAUGACCAGCCGCUCUUGGAACCCGAGGACGCUAAGAAGGGCCAUAUGGUUCUUUUUAACCUGAUUUUGCGUCCAGCGAUGCUGAUAGGUAUUUGUCCAACCCAGCUCUCAAAAUUCGGACAAAUAUCAGACAUAUGACCAAGUCCCCGUUUUCAAAUUUGAGGCGAUUGGUGGGAAGGGGACAUUAAAUUCACACCCAUGGAUUUUUUGGGUGAGCAGAGCUUUGCCCGAGUUAUUAACCAGAGGGUUGCCUUGGGCAAGCAACCUUGAUACCCCGG